AUAAUAUAUGUGUGUCGGUUAGCGUCUGCAUUCUGAUUGGCUGAGCUGAGUGACGUCACAUAUGUUGUAUUCACUCAAAAACUAAAACAAUAGUAUUUAUAUAACAACGUGAAUUGAGAAUUUAUCAAGGUGGUGGAUGAUAUAACUCUCUUCAAUGUAAUGCUCUGGUCAGGGGAUCUCAACUCUUAAGGCAAGAUACAAUGAACAAUUGUUUCAACCGGUAGAUCUCAUCUCCUUUAAUGGAAAGAUCGUUCAUUGUGCAGGUACCUCUUCAUAUCAAGAUCUUCCACGGAAUCAUCGUAUACUUCUACAUAUAAGAACAAAAGAGUUCCAUAAAACGAAAGAAUAAUCGACGGAGAUAUCCAGUGAGGAGCAGAGUUAGUUUUCAUCCCCCAACCACAGCUCCUUCUUUGAAAUUAUUGAAAGUCAACUCUACUUCGUCUCUUACUCUAAGAAAACUAUUCCAUUAAUAAGAGUCCUUCAGUUUACUGGAUGUACCUAACGCAGAAAUCACUCAUCCCUAUCACAUUUAUAUCAAUUCCAUUUAUAAGUUUGACUUCGUGAUAUACAAUACAGUCUAAUUAUAUAAUCCUUACACUUCAAGCUCACGCCUGAUUGCUUUAUUACAACUGAGUUACUUGACAUUGGAAAAUAAGUGGAACAUUAUUCUAGACUGGUAAAGAUAAUUUGCGUCUCUUUUCUUGAUAUUUUAGUCUGCAAAGCAUAUUCUACUCUGCUAUUCUAUAUAAAUAGUUAUUCGGAGCUGUUAUGUGAUUAUGUGUCUUACAAAAUAUAUAACAAACCUCUUAGCUUCUGUAGACUUACAUUGAAAUAUUUGAAUGUCAUUGAAAUUCCCAAACUUAUUGAGUCGAGAAUCCUUCUCUAAACAACCAAAUUGCUUGUCACGAUAUUGGAAUAUUACUCUUGCAAAGAUCUAAGAUCUCAACACGAAUAAAUAAAUUAUUAAAUGUUUUCUAUACUAGAUAAUUAUGAGUUGUUUUACUGAAAACAAUAGUUAAAAUAUAUCAAUAUAAUGAUACGAUUGUUUUAGUAUUGAUUGAAAAAUAAUAAAGUGUCAAUGAUAUUCAUCACAUGUAAA
rnacentral:lncRNA from 1 species